CCUGCUCCACAACCUUUGGUGGUAAAGAUAAGAGGCUCAAAUUUUCCACUCGUUUCCAUAGAAAGCCAGAGUGUUGUGGUGAAACAGCCUCUUUUCACUGAUGUGUUUGUACAUGGUCAGUCUGUCCUGCAGUGGGAAGUUAUCAUCAUCUUCAAUGCAAAGCUCUCAGCUUCUAAUGGCAAGCUGUUAAUCUCUUUGUCACAAAAGAGCUUUGAUGGUGUUCAGGCAUCCUCAUCUGUUGGUGCUACCAAUG